UCUCAAGUGGGUCUCUCGCUCACUGCUAGCUCUCUGCUCUCUUCUGGGAAUCGGUUAAGAUAAGGCAAGAUGCGACUGAUGAUCUCUUUCUUCAACAACUCAUAUAAUUUCUUUGACUUUUAUUGCGUUAAUUUUUCCUUUUUUCUGGGUUGCUCAGAUUCUUUCAAUUUCUGUGAUUGCUUUGAUUAAAAUUCGGCAGGAGACUACAAAGAAGGAGGCUUUUAUAUCGAAAGUCGAG
rnacentral:lncRNA from 1 species